rnacentral:rRNA from 1 species
UACGUAGGGUGCGAGCGUUGUCCGGAAUUAUUGGGCGUAAAGAGCUUGUAGGCGGUCUGUCGCGUCUGCUGUGAAAAUCCGGGGCUCAACCCCGGACUUGCAGUGGGUACGGGCAGACUAGAGUGUGGUAGGGGGAGACUGGGAAUUCCUGGGUGUAGCGGUGAAAUGCGCAGAUAUCAGGAGGAACACCGGUGGCGAAGGCGGGUCUCUGGGCCGAUACUGACGCUGAGGAGCGAAAGCGUGGGGAGCAAACAGG